GCCUGGGUAGCUCAGACGGUAGAGCAUCAGACUUUUAAGCUGCGCUGCGGUUUAAAACCGUACUCCGGAAAACG